ensembl:lncRNA
GGGGGGUCCAUCAGUCCAUCAGGAGAGGCUUUCCACUAAGAAUCAAAGAGCACACGUGUUACUGUCUGCAGCCUCCUGCAAUACGUGACUCUUAACGUCUUCAUGUCCAUGUGGGGGGUGGGGGGGGGUCCACUACGUGCCAUUAAGACCAUGUGGCAGCAGUUAAGAUGGUUGACUGUAUCUGCACUGGUGUGUAGAGAUGGAUCUCCCCCCCGGCCCCCCAAACUCGCUCUCUCUGGACAAACGGUCAACCGCUUACAACAAUAGGCGCAGUGUUCUUAGUCUGUUCUCAGUCUGUUCUCAGUCUGUUCUGUUCUCAGUCUGUUCUCGGUCUGUUCUCGCUCUGUUCUUAGUCUGUUCUCAGUCUGUUCUGUUCUCAGUCUGUUCUCGGUCUGUUCUCGCUCUGUUCUUAGUCUGUUCUCAGUCUGUUCUGUUCUCAGUCUGUUCUCGGUCUGUUCUCGCUCUGUUC